rnacentral:tRNA from 1 species
GGAUAGGUGGCUGAGUGGUUUAAGGCAUCAGUUUUGAAAACUGACGUCAAUAUGACAACAAGAGUUCGAAUCUCUUCCUAUCC